AUUGAACGCUGGCGGCAGGCCUAACACAUGCAAGUCGAACGAGUGGCGGACGGGUGAGUAAUGUCUGGGAAACUGCCUGAUGGCGGGGGAUAACUACUGGAAACGGUAGCUAAUACCGCAUACCAUCAGAUGUGCCCAGAUGGGAUUAGCUAGUUGGUGGGGUAACGGCUCACCAAGGCGACGCUCCCUAGCUGGUCGGAGAGGAUGACCGGCCACACUGGAACUGAGACACGGUCCAGACGCCUACGGGAGUCAGCAGUGGGGAAUAGUGCACAAUGGGCGCAAGCCUGAUGCAGCCAUGCCGCGUGGAUGAAGAAGGCCUUCGGGUUGUAAAGUACUUUCAGCGGGGAGGCGUUACCCGCAGAAGAAGCACCGGCUAACUCCGUGCCAGCAGCCGCGGUAAUUC
rnacentral:rRNA from 1 species